AUAUGGACCCAGAUAACUAUACCACAUAAUAAUAUAGUCAUUGCACAGGAGCGAAGGAACAAAGUGCUAUGAGACUGGGGCACACUGUAAAUCAGGGAAGGUCUCAUAGAAGAGACAUUGAUGAAUGGGAAAGGCCACUGGCUUUUAAGUCAAAGAACCUGGUUUCAAAUCUCACCGAGGACACUUAACUUACUAUUUGUGUUGAGCUGAGGUGAGUAACUGCAAUGGAAAAAUCUUGGUUCAAGGGAGCAGAAGAUGAAAGACACUUCUCUCCUCCAGAGAGGGUGUGGAACAUUGCACAAGUUUGUGGUUGCUUUUUAAUCAUUCACGACACGCAUUUAUUAAGCAGCCACCAGGAACCAGGCACUGGACUAGGCGGGGGACACAAAGG